GUAGGUGGCAAGCGUUGUCCGGAAUUAUUGGGCGUAAAGCGCGCGCAGGCGGUUCUUUAAGUCUGAUGUGAAAGCCCACGGGCUCAACCGUGGAGGGUCAUUGGAAACUGGAGAACUUGAGUACAGAAGAGGAAAGCGGAAUUCCACGUGUAGCGGUGAAAUGCGUAGAGAUGUGGAGGAACACCAGUGGCGAAGGCGGCUUUCUGGUCUGUAACUGACGCUGAGGCGCGAAAGCGUGGGGAGCAAACAGGACUAGAUACCCUGGUAGUCCACGCCGUAAACGAUGAGUGCUAAGUGUUAGGGGGUUUCCGCCCCUUAGUGCUGCAGCUAACGCAUUAAGCACUCCGCCUGGGGAGUACGGCCGCAAAGGCUG
rnacentral:rRNA from 1 species